CGGGUGGCUGCAGUGAGGAAUAUUGCGCAAUGGGGGCAACCCUGACGCAGCAACGCCGCGUGGGUGAAGAAGGCCUUCGGGUUGUAAAACCCUUUCUGGGGGAAGAGCGAGGACGGUACCCCAGGAAUAAGUCCCGGCUAACUACGUGCCAGCAGCCGCGGUAAAACGUAGGGGGCAAGCGUUAUCCGGAUUUACUGGGCGUAAAGCGCGUGCAGGCGGCUUGGUAGGUUGGACGUGAAAGCUCCUGGCUCAACUGGGAGAGGCCGUUCAAUACCGCCGGGCUUGAGGGCGGAAGAGGGGAGUGGAAUUCCCGGUGUAGUGGUGGAAUGCGUAGAGAUCGGGAGGAACACCUGUGGCGAAGGCGGCUCCCUGGUCCGCACCUGACGCUCAAGCGCGAAAGCGUGGGGAGCGAACGGGAUUAGAUACCCCGGUAGUCCACGCUGUAAACGAUGGAUGCUAGGUGUGGGUGGUAUUGACCCCAUCCGUGCCGUAGCUAACGCGUUAAGCAUCCCGCCUGGGGACUACGGCCGCAAGGCUA
rnacentral:rRNA from 1 species